UGCAGGAAUGAGGAGUGAACUGGGGAAAUCCAAUAUAUGAACACUCAGAGCUUGAUUUCAAAGGAUUCACAAAGAAUCACUCUGACAAGGAAAUAUCACUGGCUUCAGUGGAGCUGUCACUGAGCUAUAUAAAGGAUUCAACUCUUAAAAAAUUGAUAAAUAGGGAUCUGAUGUGGAGGAGCUAGACCAGCCAGACGACUUGCAGGAAGAUGUGGAGUACUGUGGGGAAUCAUAAAAGGGCAUGACAGAUGGGCCACUUCCCACUGCUUCUUCUGAAGAGUCUAACCCUGAUUUGUAAAACAGAAGGUCUGAAUACUCCUGCCCAGGCAGAUCCCAAGGACAUCAUAAUGACUUGAAGCAAAUGAAUCAUCUCUCAGCUGUAGUAUUGGGUGGUAUUUGAAAGCUCCAUCUUUGAAAUCCAGGAAAAAACCCC